UGUAAUAUUAUCUAGAUCAUGGGCUCAUGCAGCAAUCCCAGCACUGCUACAUUUGCCACCUACAUAAUGAUGCACUGGGACGAUAUGUAAUCAAACAGGGGAGCCACAGGCGCUUCUCGUCGGAGGAUUUCAAAGACGUAUGAAUUGGGCCUCACAACAGCCCUGGCUGUCAGGACCUGGAUCUCUAGCACCAAGAGUCCUGCCCCCUUUCACUGCUCCCUGCACUGCCCGUCCUCAGAGGGAUGCACAACGCCCACAGGUGAGGAGACCAGCCCCACUGUGACUGUCAGGCUUCCAGGAGAGAGACACACUUCUAAUAGAUGAGCCCAGAGGGAGAAACUCCUACUGUCUUUUGGAGCUGUUGCCUACCAAUCACCAGGGCUCCUGGCCUGAGCUACAGUGAUG